rnacentral:lncRNA from 1 species
UCUCUGAUCGCGAAACUCUAGGCAUACUCAUAGUGAGUACAAUCUUCGUGGUGUUCUUGAUGAUUGUUGGAUCGGUGAUUAGAGCGGGCACACGCAGGAUGAGUCCAAGAGAGGGGAGAAAGGCCGAAGUAGAAGCUCUUAAAAGUGGAUGUUGGUGCCGAUUUGUUAUGCUCAUCUCUCCAAGAAGUUUUGGUUAAUGUCGGUUGCUUGUGGUUGCAAUAUUUGUUGAUUUUGCUUUUGA